GCCGAGCUUGGUCACGUAAGCUUGUAACUCGAGUGAGGGCAUUUAAGGAAAUGGAACAUCGGUCCAAACAUCUGGGCCGGGUCUAAAUCGGCUUCAUUCUGGGCCAGACCGUUUCAAGCAAAGAGAUGGGCUGUGUUCUCUGGGCGGAAGCCCUAUCGGGCACAGCCUUUAAAGCGGAGGGGAAAGCGUCAGGCUGGCUGACAGAGCAACGACAACCUCCCGCUCUUUGCGGUGAAAGGAUAUCUGACCGGUGCCUCUUGGGGCCCGCUAGGUCCAGAAAUUGGCCUAAUGGACCGUUUCCUUU
rnacentral:SRP_RNA from 1 species